AUCGGCUAAUGACGCCCCCUAGCGUUUGGAGUAUAGGCUAUACUUGAUCCAAGCGUCCAAGCUGAAGAGAGACAUUAAGACAUCGAUUUUUUUUACACUGUACAUGUCAAACAAAUCUGUGUUUCUCCGAUAUUUUAGAGUUACACAGCUGAAUUCAACAAGCUAUAACCAGAUUUUACACAAGCUGUCAUGGCUGAUGGAGUCCAUCCCAGCUACCAUGAGAUGAGAGGUGGGGUACACCCUGGACAGGUCGUCAGUCUUGACAACAGCAAGGUCAAGUUGAUGGCACUUUCCCCUGUUUAGAUACAUCCUCGUCCUGUGCAUCUCAGACUGCUGGCUCAUCUGCAGAGGAGUCUGUGUCCUAUUGAAUGAGACACCAAUCAAGAAGGAAGGCUACAUCCCAGGAAAUUCACAGCAACAACACAACUAGAUGUGUGUUAGGACCAGUGUGGACAUUUGCUGCUUCACUGUGAAAGGCUCGAAUGGUGUAACCUCUGUCCAAAGGGUGCGUUGAGGUGGAAAUCCAAGAAGUGCAAUACGUUCCUGUGCUUGAAUGCACACCAGCAAAGCUUGGCAGUAGACCCCUUGAAGUAAAGGGGAUCUAAUGCCCCAAAACAUGCUGCUACAUUUAAAGACGUUUUAUGGCUUUUGCAGAGAAAUUUUAAAAGUGUCCAAAAAUUUUAUUUGACUGUUACUAAUCUGGUUAUCAAUUAAGAGUUAUACUAUAAAGGGAAACCUUGACUGUUUGAUAGAGAACUCUAUUUAAAAGAAUAAUGGUGCUUGAAUUAAAAAAACAUAUAUAUUUGUUGUUAUUUUUCUUACUCAUUUUUUUAGAAUUCCUGUUAUUAAACACUUGUACAGACUUUGUAGAGUAUAUGUCUGCAAUGUUGACUGCUUAGGCUAACACAGGGUCCUGUAGCUUUCCUGUAGAGUAAACCUGCACACUGAGGUAUUUUCCAAGUCAUGCCAAUAUAUUAUGGUGAAUAUCCUUAAGUUCAAGUGCAAAUAAAAGAAUUAAUAUUGGAGGAAAUUACUGUCAUCACAUCAUGGUUCAUAGGUUUCAGUAUUAUAUAGCUUUUGUUAAAAUCUUUAAUGACAUGUUGACUAUGACAAGAUAUUUACUGACUACUUCAUCUUAAAAAGUAAUGCAGAACAAAAUAAUAAACUUUUAGUGAUGCGCUUCACAUACAUUCGUCACAUAAUAAUAUUGAUUAAUAUUGGAAACUACACAAAAUGAAGCUUCUUGCCAGUGACCUGAGGAUCAUUUGCAUCAUCUGGUUUAGAUAUAUGGGUGGAUUAUAAGACACUUCAGAGCAGUGUAAAUUCAAUCAUAUUGCAAGAUAUAUACAGAGGAAAUAUUUUGAGACUACCUUACAAUCUUGGUGGUAUAAUACGAAUGAACAGUAGCAUAUAAUGAUGUCUUAAGUCAAUCAUAAGUUGAAGUGCAUAUAUAUUUUAAGUUCUGUUAGAAUGAUGAAAUAACCUUUACAGUGAUUUGUUUAUUAGGCACAGCACAGUUUGCACAAAUACGCAAACAAUUACAUUUAAACUUUAACCAGACAAAUUUAUUUCCAUGUGCAGGAAUUCCUUUGUGCAUACAUGGAAAGUGUAAGGCCUUAGACUUCAACCUACAUAAACAGGGCAGGCAUCAACAGAUAUGGUACUGAUAAUGGCCAAACCUUUUAAGUCCACCCUCAAAACCCACCUGUUCAAACUAGCAUAAAGAAAUGCGCUGAAGUUGUGUACAGGUAGUCAGGCUAAACCAACUUAAAUUGUGCACCCUAAAUUAAAUUUGCCAGUUACAUAGGUAUUUUUUAGCUGAACCUUCCUGGUAUUGAGAUCAGAUAAUAUAGGCUUGUGUAUUGACAUUAUAGGCUGAUCUUAACUUUG